rnacentral:lncRNA from 1 species
CAAUGGUCAAUGGUCACUCAGUGGUCACUCAGUGUUUACUCAUUGGUCACUCAUUGGUCAGUGUUUACUCAUUGGUCAUUCAUUGGUCAGUGGUCACUCAAUGGUGACUCAGUGGUCACUCAAUGGUCACUCAAUGGGCAGUAUAAGGGCAGUGGUCACUCAGUGGUCACUCAUUGGUCAGUGGUCACUCACUUCCGGCCGAGCUCUCUCAGGUCGUGCCCCCAUGACCGAUGCUCAGUGGUCACUCCCGUGGUCACUCCUGUGGUCACUCAGUGAUCACUCAUUGGUCAGUGUUUACUCAUUGGUCACUCAUUCGUCAUUGGUCACUCAUUGGUCACUCAAUGGUCAAUGGUCACUCAAUGGUCACUCAGCAGUCAAUGGUCACUCAAUGGUCACUCAAUGGUCAAUGGUCACUCAAUGGUCACUCAUUCAUCAUUGGUCACUCAGUGGUCACUCAAUGGUCGCUCUGGGAUGUUCUGUAUUGGUCAAUGGUCACUCAAUGGUCACUCAUUGGUCACUCAGUGGUCACUCAAUGGUCACUCAUUGGUCACUCAGUGGUCACUCAGUGGUCACUCACUUCCGGCCGAGCUCUCUCAGGUCGUGCCCCCAUGACCGAUGCUCAGUGGUCACUCCAGUGGUCACUCCUGUGGUCACUCCCGUGGUCACUCCCAUGGUCACUCCUGUGGUCACUCAUUGGUCAAUGGUCACUCAAUGGUCACUCAGCAGUCAAUGGUCACUCAGGGGUCACUCAGUGGUCACUCAGGGAUGUUCUGUAUUGGUCAUUGGUCACUCAUUGGUCACUCAGUGGUCACUCAAUGGUCACUCAUUGGUCACUCAGUGGUCACUCGGUGGUCACUCAGUGGUUAUUCAUUGGUCACUCAGUGGUCACUCUGUGGUCGCUCAAUGGUCACUCAAUGGUCACUCAAUGGUCACUCAUUGGUAUCUCAAUGGGCAGUAUAAGGGCAAUAGAAGGGCAGUGGUCACUCAUUGGUCACUCAGGGGUCACUCAUUGGUCACGCAGUGGUCACUGGUCAUUCAGUGGUCACUCAGUGGUCACUCAGUGGUCAGUGGUCACUCAGUGGUCACUCAGUGGUCAGUGUGGUCACUCUGUGGUCACUCAGUGGUCACUCAGUGGUCACUCAAUGGGCAGUAUAAGGGCAAUAUAUGGGCAGUGGUCACUCAGUGG